rnacentral:rRNA from 1 species
UACGUAGGUGGCAAGCGUUAUCCGGAUUUACUGGGUGUAAAGGGCGUGUAGGCGGGGACGCAAGUCAGAUGUGAAAACCACGGGCUCAACCUGUGGCCUGCAUUUGAAACUGUGUUUCUUGAGUACUGGAGAGGCAGACGGAAUUCCUAGUGUAGCGGUGAAAUGCGUAGAUAUUAAGAGGAACACCAGUGGCGAAGGCGGUCUGCUGGACAGCAACUGACGCUGAGGCGCGAAAGUGUGGGGAGCAAACAGG